CGGUCCAAAAAGCCCUAGCGCCCAGCAGUGCUCGGCAUCUCCUGGCACAACCUGACCUCUCCCUCUCGGUGUGUUGCUGUCGCGUCGCCGCCGGUUGAGCUGUUCUCCUCAGUCCUACUUCUCCGGCCGACUUCUCCUCUCGGACUUGCGAUCCCCUCAUUUCUUUCCUCACCAGCGCACAUCUUCGACCAGGGGCAGAGCCGAGCCCUAGCCUCGCCUUCUUCUGGUUUUCUUGCGUUGUGCCCUAGGUUUUCUCUUGCUGUUGGAUCCGAACAAAACAGUAGUGAGUAUCAGACAGGAGCAAGCAGUGACGAGUUCUUCUUGUGUCUCUGCUUGGUAGUGCCGAAGACAAUACCGAGUUGUGUUUUAGCCGGAUCUUGGAGCUUCUCCGGGUCUCGACAGUAAGUUCUUCAGGAUUUGAGCAG